CUUUAUGCGUCAGUUACCAAUCUUAUCUCAAGGGAUGAAGGUCGCUGUGGUAGUGUUUGCUUCGCUAUUUGUCGCGGGAGAAUGCGGCCACCUGCAGACAUACAGCUUGCCGAACAAAGAAUUUACCGCGAGCAGCCAUCAUGGUAGUCAGGGAUACAGCUACCUCCCACCACCAGCUUCUACUGUCUGCGCGGACGGCCAAGUACUCCACGUCGAUGGACGCUGCGUCACUCCCAUAAUCACCCGCUCUGUCUACCUCUUUAACGUCCCACAGCUCCCUCGAAGACCUACUCCCCUCCCCUACAUUCCCCCACCCAAGGUCGACCAUAACAUCCUUUUCGUCCGCUUACCGGAGGACCUAAGGGCCCCAGAUCCAAUCGUGGUUCCUCCUCCCCAGCAGAAGAACAUCGUCUACGUCCUGAGGAAGAACACCCAAGAUGAAGGACCCAGAGUCAUUGAAGUUCCAGCGCCUGCGAAGACUAACCCUGACGUCUACUUCGUCGGUUACGAUCAAGGAGAGAACCCCAUUCUCCCAACAGGCGAAGCCCUCGAGAGUAUCCUUUCCAAUCAAGCUCAAGAAAUCUAUGGCCAGGUGGUGGACAGCGGAUCAUCAGGUCACAUUGCAGGUGAUGGAUUACAUAGUCACGUUGGUGCUGGGUCCCUUGGUCUAGCAGGCAGCGGUUCAUCACAUACCAGCCAUGUUGGUAUUGGGUCUCUUGGACUAGCAGGCAGUGGUUUAUCACAUGCUCCAAGUGGUCACGUCACGAACAGCGUUUCAUCAGUGGGUAGUGUAUUUCAUGGUCUUGCAGGUUCUCACCACACUGUCACUGCAGCCCCAACUAGUGCCCCACACAAUCAAGGAAUCUUUGUCACCCCGGUAAAUUAUUUACCACCCAACAACUUUUCUCGGUAGUUGGACCCUCUACUUCUUCUUUCUCUAAUGCUAUUUUUAUCUAUUAUUCAACUGACCAAAGUGAGAAAUGAUACAUAUAGAAUAGCAAAGUUCCAUGGAAUAAUCAUAAUGGACUCCUACUGACUUUUUCCAGUGGCAUUUCCUCAAUGUUAAGUGUCCAUGGGACUUUUACAACAGGGCAAUUCUAUUAGCAUUACCAUAUUUUACACAACAUUUUGUAUGCUAAGAAAGAGGAUCAACAUUUGCCUACAAAAGAGAACAAAAUAUUGGAAAAAUGCAGUUGUGAAAAUACACAUCCUUCACAUUUGUUAUUAUUCAAACAUAAGUUCAGAAUCGCCUACCCCAGGCAAUUUGCAAGAGUACACAGUCCAAGCAUGCACCUAUUUCUGUUCGUAAUUUUCAUGAUAUAUGUUUUCGUGUCUGGAAAUAAAACUAAAUAUAGCAAUACAUAAAGCCAAUGAUAUGUAACUUGGCACUUCUCGAAAUAAAAAUUGUUAAACAAG